rnacentral:rRNA from 1 species
UACGGGGGGGGGCAAGCGUUGUCCGGAAUUAUUGGGCGUAAAGGGCUCGUAGGCGGUCUGUCGCGUCGGGAGUGAAAACUCAGGGCUUAACCCUGAGCCUGCUUCCGAUACGGGCAGACUAGAGGUAUGCAGGGGAGAACGGAAUUCCUGGUGUAGCGGUGGAAUGCGCAGAUAUCAGGAGGAACACCGGUGGCGAAGGCGGGUUCUCUGGGCAUUACCUGACGCUGGAGGAGCGAAAGCGUGGGGAGCGAACAG